rnacentral:rRNA from 1 species
UACGUAGGGGGCUAGCGUUGUCCGGAAUCAUUGGGCGUAAAGAGCGUGUAGGCGGCCCGGUAAGUCCGCUGUAAAAGUCAAAGGCUCAACCUUUGAAUGUCAGUGGAUACUGUGAGGCUAGAGUCCGGAAGAGGCGAGUGGAAUUCCUGGUGUAGCGGUGGAAUGCGCAGAUAUCAGGAGGAACACCAAUAGCGAAGGCAGCUCGCUGGGACGGUACUGACGCUAAGGCGCGAAAGCGUGGGGAGCGAACAGG